CAGCCUGCGCGGAAUGACAACAGCAGCAGCCCGCUGACAGUGGAGCCGAUCCCGGAACGAGCCCUGGCGGCUCUCCGACAGCAGAAGAUGAUGAUGCUCUGACCUGGAAGCCGUCCAUCCCUCCUGCCUCUCGCUCAGACAUCCGUCUGCUCUGUUUCUCUCUGAGCCGGUCAGCCGUAAGUGGAUUAGCGUCCGCCGCCUCCCAUAGGAGGAUCACGGAGAUGUGACCUCACCACGAGUGACCCUCGGCGUCCCCAUAGCGACGCCGUGGCAACGCAACACUAUGGCAACGGAGUGGAGCAACCUCUGAUUCAACACUUUGCAUCUGCUUUUCAUGUUCCCGCCUGCAGCGGCUUCCUGGGAGCUGCAGAGAUGAAAAAUAUGAAUCAUUAGAAAGUGAUUUGAUCUCCUGAACUGCUUCAAGAAAAAUAAAUCUUUAAGUGACUCA